rnacentral:lncRNA from 1 species
CGCCACUGCACUCCAGCCUGGGCGACAGAGCGAGACUCCGUCUCAAAAAAAAAAAAAAAGUGGGUCUGAAGCACUUAGCUGUCAAGAUAACCAACCCACAGGUUUCUAUGCAAGGGUUAUCAUACAGAUUUCAUUAAUUUCCAAUUGUGUAUCACACCAGUCUGAUUCGCAAACAUAACAGCAGCCAAACCUCAGUAUACUCUAUUCAGACAGCCUUACCUUUUGCAUGCACAUGUAAGUACCUUUAUUUACAUAACAAAUUAUGGGAUGAUUGCUUAUAUUAUGUAAACUCUCCAUUAUAUAAAACAUUCUCUGGAAGUUUCUUUUAAAAGUAAGCUCAUCCCAGGUAUUUAAAUUACUAACUUUAAAAAAUUGGUUGACAUAGGCUUUUUCAGAAACUCAACUAAUCCCCAGCCAGGGCCACGAGGAUAAGAAACAGACCCAGCCCUGAUGGAGUGUGUCUCAUCACAGGCAACAGACAAGUGGGCAGAUGCAACGUGACAAAUGGCACUUCACAGCUCACAAAAGGGCUUCUGGAGGAGACUCGAGUCUCCUAGAAAGAUGGACCGUGUAGAGGGAGGGACAGGAACAGUGAACACAGCAACCUGGCAAAGGCCAGGAGUCAGGAGGGAAGCUGACAUCGGAAUGAGGCCUCCACGCUGCACCAAGAAACUUGGAUUUGGAGGUAAAGACAACAGCAGGAAGCCUGCGAAGGACGUCCUAGGCAGAGGCACCAUCACUGCACAAGUGACGAACAUGCUGGAGGGGACAACAUGAGAGGAAGACCGCUGUU